rnacentral:rRNA from 1 species
AUAUUAGAAGAUAUUAUUGUUGUUGUUUUUUUUCUGUGAAGCUAAGCAGGGCUGAGCCUGGCCAGUACCUGGAUGGGAGACCACAUGGGAACACUAGGUUGCUGUUGGA